GACGAACGCUGGCGGCGUGCUUAACACAUGCAAGUCGAACGAAGUGGCGAACGGGUGAGUAAUUCGUCGGUAAUCUGCCCUCCUUUUUGGGAUAAGCCUUGGUAACGGGGUCUAAUACCGCAUAACGGGGGGUGGGCUCGCGGCCUACCAGCUUGUUGGUGGGGUGAUGGCUUACCAAGGCGGUGACGGGUAGCCGGCCUGAGGGGGUGACCGGGCACAUUGGGCGUGAGGUACGGCGCAGACUCCUACGGGAGGCAGCAGUGGGGGAUAUUGCACAAUGGGGGAAGGCCUGAUGCAGCGACGCCGCGUGGGGGAUGAAGGCUUGCGGGUUGAAAGCCUCUUUCGUUAUCGAACGGGUAGGUAGAGAAGAAGCGCCGGCUAACUACGUGCCAGCAGCCGCGGUAAUAC
rnacentral:rRNA from 1 species